AGGAGACCUGCCUGAGCCCCACAGCUACAAAGAGCUCCUGGGAAGGUGCUGCUGGAUGCAGUUUGCAACCACCUCAACCUCGUGGAAGGUGACUAUUUUGGCCUCGAGUUUCCUGAUCACAAAAAGAUCACGGUGUGGCUGGAUCUCCUAAAACCCAUUGUGAAACAGAUUAGAAGGCCAAAGCAUGUUGUUGUUAAGUUUGUGGUGAAAUUCUUUCCGCCUGACCACACACAACUCCAAGAAGAACUCACAAGGUACCUGUUCGCGCUGCAGGUGAAGCAGGACUUGGCUCAAGGCAGGUUGACGUGUAAUGACACCAGCGCAGCUCUCUUGAUUUCACACAUUGUGCAAUCUGAGAUUGGGGAUUUUGAUGAAGCCUUGGACAGAGAGCACUUAGCAAAAAAUAAAUACAUACCUCAGCAAGACGCACUAGAGGACAAAAUCGUGGAAUUUCACCAUAACCACAUUGGACAAACACCAGCAGAAUCAGAUUUCCAGCUCCUAGAGAUUGCCCGUCGGCUAGAGAUGUAUGGAAUCCGGUUGCACCCGGCCAAG
rnacentral:sRNA from 1 species